rnacentral:lncRNA from 1 species
AGUAGUCACGCCUGACAAUGUCUUCGAGAACAAGGACGUCGUGGAGAAGCAACUGAAGGAGCUGAAAUCAGCAGGGAUAGAUGGGAUCAUGAUCGACGUAUGGUGGGGGAUCAUCGAAGCCAAAGGGCCGAAACAGUACGACUGGAGUGGCUACAAGGAGCUUUUCGAGUUACUCAAGGCAUUGGACCUGAAAAUCCAAGCUAUAAUGUCUUUCCAUCAGUGUGGUGGCAAUGUUGGUGACAAUGUCUUCAUCCCUCUCCCUGAUUGGGUCCUCAAAGUCGGGGAGGUUGAUCCCGAUGUCUUCUACACCAAUAGGGCCGGUGUUCGGAACAAGGAGUACCUGUCUCUUGGUGUCGACCACCUCCCUCUUUUCGGUGGCCGAUCUCCUGUUCAGGUAUCGAUUUGAGAUAUUCGAGUUAAGAAUCAUCAACCCUUUUAUUUCAUCUUGAAUCCACUCAUACAUGCAUGUUCUCAUUUGUUAACCGAACAUUUCGUGUAGAUCUACGCUGACUACAUGAAGAGUUUCAGGGAGACCAUGGCGGAAUACUUCGAUUCGCGGUUGAUAAUCGACAUCGAAGUAGGGCUUGGACCGGCAGGGGAGCUUAGAUACCCAUCUUAUCCUGAGACACAAGGAUGGGUUUUCCCUGGAAUUGGAGAGUUUCAGGUUUAUUACAGGCUAUAGUAAUUUCCCAAUUUCUCAUGAAUCCUUAUCACUUGCGGAUUCACAAAUUUUAAACCCUAGAUUCAUUGUUUCUUGUUGAACAAUCCAGUGCUAUGACAAGUACAUGGCAGCUGAGUUCAGAAAGGCAGCAAUAGAGGCAGGGCAUCCUGAGUGGGAAUUGCCUGAUGAUGGAGGGGAAUACAAUAAUACCCCUGAUCAAACAGGGUUCUUCAAAUCCAACGGCUCAUAUCUUUCUGAAAAGGGCAAGUUUUUCCUGACGUGGUACUCCAACAAGUUGCUUUUCCAUGGAGAUAACAUCCUUGAUGAGGCCAACAAGGCCUUUUUGGGAUGCAAGGUCAAAUUGGCUGCCAAGGUAAACUCAUUAAUUAGAAUGAGUACUAUUGUGAUCAUUUGUGUGACCGGUGAAAAGGCUUUGAUAUUAUGUUGUUGUGUUGAAAAAUGUGAUAGGUUUCCGGAAUCCAUUGGUGGUACACGGAUCCGAGCCACGCAUCGGAGCUGACUGCAGGGUACUACAACUUGAAGGAUCGGGAUGGGUACCGACCGGUGGCGAGGAUGAUGUCAAGGCACCACGGACUUGUGAACUUCACUUGCUUGGAAAUGAGGAACACUGAGCAGCCCGCCAUGGCCAAGAGUGCUCCCCAACAGCUUGUCCAACAGGUUAUAAGCUCACAUACGUAAUGAGAUAAAAAUUAUAUGUGAAAAAUUAAUGACAAGUGACUUCUUUGAUAGGUUUUGAGUGACGCGUGGAGAGAAGGGAUCGACGUGGCGGGAGAGAAUGCGUUGGCAAGGUACGACGCCGGAGGAUACAACCAGAUCCUUCUGAACGCUAGACCUAACGGGAUUCGCCCAUCAAAGGAUGGGGAGAAAAAGUUGCGGAUGUAUGGAGUUACAAUCCUCCGUCUGACGGAUGAUCUGUUGGAACAGAAGAAUUUCGAUGUGUUCAAGAAGUUCGUAAGGAGGAUGCAUGCCAACCAGGUAUGUAUAUAGUAACGAUACACACCUCAUUGGCUCGAGUAGCUUGACCGAUGAUGAAAAGGACUUUCGUAAUGUGUGGUAUUAUUUUCGUAUAGGACUAUUGUGGAGAUUCGAGCAAGUAUGGGCAUGAAAUCGGAGUUUUGGAGAGAUCUAAGGGCAAAUUGGGAAUGGAUGAGCUUAUGGAGGCAACUAAGCCAAUAGAGCCGUAUCCAUGGGAUGAAGAAACUGAUAUGCCUGUUGAGCCUGUAGGUUUAUUUGGCAAACUCCUUCAGAAAUUAUUUUCUCUAUUUUGCAGAUGAUUAAUUGACUGAUUAAUCUGUUUAAUUAUAUAUUUACAGUGACGAUUAUCUGAUACAAGCAUAAUAAUUAACUAUAAUCUGAAGAAGAAAAGCAUUAACAAUAGCUAAUCAAGCCAAAAUUUGGGUGAUAUUUGUUAGAUUUGUUCAAAUGUAUAUACAAAAUAAAUUUCUAAAAAAUUAAAGAAAUUUUUUAGAGACUACUGAUGGAAUCAUAUAAUAGGUUCAUAGUUUUUAAUAUUACUAAUCAUAAGCGAUAGAUAGUUUAGAUAAAAUGCUUUAUAUCGAAUAAUAAUACUGUAAUACGUAAUAUUUCAUUUUUUAAAACUAGUUAGUGUGCUAUAUCAUACAUUUGCUAUGUUCGAAACUAACCGUAAAUGAUAUAACAAGGCUAAUUAUAAAAUGACCACAUAAUCUUAAAAUAGAUAUCCACACAUUUAAAUGUUUUAAAUAAUUUUCAUAUUUUCUGCAUAUGUAAAUAUAUUUCAUUUUUGGUUUUGCAGUGAUCUGUUCGAUCUAUCAAGCAGUUCUUCUUCAAGACGCAUGACACGAUAUCGAGCAUGUACGCUUGCUUUCGAAAUUCGGCAGUGUUAUCUGUCAUGUCUAAUAAAGUUGUGUACUAGUUAAUGUGUGAUGUGUGUACCCAUCAUGGGGCUUAAAAAUAAAUAGAGAGUUGUUGGAGCCUCUUUCUAUAAAUAAAAUAAAAUAAAAAACCAAAAGGCAUAGAGCCAUUUGGUCCCUCUUGUAUUAAUGAUCAGCUAGUUUAUGCCCAACUUUUGCUAAACUACCAGUCAUUUCAACAAGAACACAACCCAUCUCUGAAGUGAUGGAACCUCCUGAUAUCACGCAUCACUAUCUCUCGACCCGUAACCUUCGAGAUAAGCUUCGUUACUUAGUGGCAAGCCUUGCAUACACGAAGGUUCUUCGUGACCCUUACGAUGGUUCCUGGACCGGUGUUCACUAGAGUAAACGCAAUCAAAGAGUUCCAAGACACUCUAUCUUUCUUCCUUGCAUAAUCCAUGAAACUACACUUGCAGUAAACUUCAACCAGUGAAUUCUCCAGAAAGGUAUUGUAAAGUGCAUGGCCAAGUUCUUACAACAUAACCAUGAACUUCUUUGCCUUGCUUCAGCAUAAAAAAUUCAGCACAAGAAGAAAGAAGACCAACCUCAUAGUAAACAUACAUUGAUUAUGCUCGUCUAUCGAUAGAUGUGAUAUGUGUGAACCGUAAACUUUUUCCAUACUAAAACAACAUAUGUCACACAACUAACCCUUAUCCAAUUAUUAGCUGUCACGAUUAUGUUCGUUUUAGCUGUGAACACUGCCUGGCCUCAUUACUGCUUAAAGAACUAGCUAAUCUAAUUAUUCUAUCUAUAAAAGGAGAACAUGAAUUAUUAUUGAAUAAGUAGUGUUUGAUUUUCUUAUAAGGUGUUUGAUUUUCUCAUAAGGGCUUUAUUUUGAGUUUACUGAGGCUUUAUUUUGAGUUUAUUGAGGCUUUAUUUUGAGUUUACGGGGUUUUAUUUUGAGCUCACAUAUUACUCUUUAAUUUAUGGGUCUUGUGGUAUUUUCCAUUCUUCAAUUGACAUACCUUAAAUUGUCUCGCACUUUCAUUUUGAUAAUAUGUUUUCUAUUAAAAAAAUCUAUCUAUAAAAAGAAAACAUUAAUUAUUAUUGAAUAAAUAUAAUAGUGGUAAAUGUUUUACUAUUGAUUGAAUAAUGUUGCCUAAUAACAAUGAGCUUCUCUACAACCAUUUUUAUAUGAGCUCUCAUUUCCACCCGCAUAAGCCCUAGAUCUCCAAUUUAGAUAGGUUAAAAUUGAAAAUUCAUAUUUGGAGGCAGCUCCAUUCUCUGUCACUAAUGUAAUUCGGCAUCCCAAGUUCAAAAUUUAAAUUACCGAUCCCGAAUUAAAAAUUGUGAAUUCAAUUUUGAGAAUUCGGGAGUUCGAGAAUUUGGGAGGCGGGAAUUCAGGAUUUCACAAAUUCGGGAACAGGGUCUUAUUCUCGUCCCUUUUUCAACCCCCUAUCCAUGCAAUAGUUGAGCCGCUAAACGAGCGGCUCUAAUGAUUUGUUUGUUUACUCGACUCUAAAUGAAACUUUCUUUAAGUUUCUUAAUUAAUUUGUCCUUAAAAUUUGUUUAAUCAACAUAUCAACAAUAUUACUAACAUCAUUUUGUCACAUAUAUCAUUAUAUUUUUUGUAUAACUUAUCACCAUGUCAUUUUUCGUUACAAAUCACAGGCUAUUUUUAGUGUUACUUUAAGAUAGCAAGUAAGGAAUUCUCACACAAACAAGCCACAAGUAAAGAAUUUUUACACCAACAAGCCACAAGUAAGGAAUUUUCACCCAAAAAAAGCCAGAGAAAAUCCCUUACAAAAUAUUCGAUCAUCAAUUGGGAAUAAUAACAGUUUCUAGGCUCUUCAUUGAUCUCCUAUAAAUACAACCCAUGCAUCAACCAAGGAGUUCUCAACAUCUUAUGGCUACUUUCUGAAAGAAGAAACAUUUCUUAGCAGUUCGAUCUCGAUUCGACUUCGAACCAUUAUGCAGGCUCCAACUUACGACGAAAAGAUGCUAUUGAACUACGUCCCAACUUUCGUUAUGCUCCCUGUAAGUAACAUAUAACAACUGAUCACUAGCUAGCUGUCGAUAUGUAACAAUAACCAUCUUGUUUUCUCCAGUUGGGAGUCGUCACGCGUGACAAUGUCUUCGAGAACAAGGAAGAAGUGGAGAAGCAACUGAAGAAGCUGAAAUCGGCCGGGAUAGAUGGAGUCAUGAUCGAUGUAUGGUGGGGGAUCAUCGAAGCCAAGGGGCCUAAACAGUACGACUGGAGUGGCUACAGGGAGCUUUUCGAGUUACUCAAGGAACUGGACCUGAAAAUCCAAGCUAUAAUGUCUUUCCACAAGUGUGGUGGCAAUGUUGGUGACAAUGUCGUCAUCCCUCUCCCCGAUUGGGUCCUCAAAGUCGGGGA